rnacentral:rRNA from 1 species
GACAGGGGGACCCGAGCGUUAGUCGGAAUUACUGGGCUUAAAGGGUGCGUAGGCGGACCUGUAAGUGUCGUGUGAAAGCCCACCGCUCAACGGUGGAACUGCACGGCAAACUGCAGGUCUCGAGGUUGGUAGAGGCGGGUGGAACGAUUGGUGGAGCGGUGGAAUGCGUAGAUAUCGAGAGGAACACCUGCGGCGAAGGCGGGUUGCUGGGCUGACACUGACGCUGAUGCGCGAAAGCCAGGGGAGCGAACGGG